rnacentral:rRNA from 1 species
GAUGAACGCUAGCUACAGGCUUAACACAUGCAAGUCGAGGGGAAACGAUAGAGAAAGCUUGCUUUUUCUAGGCGUCGACCGGCGCACGGGUGAGUAACGCGUAUCCAACCUGCCCAUCACUUGGGGAUAACCUUGCGAAAGUAAGACUAAUACCCAAUGACGUCUCUAGAAGACAUCUGAAAGAGAUUAAAGAUUUAUCGGUGAUGGAUGGGGAUGCGUCUGAUUAGCUUGUUGGCGGGGUAACGGCCCACCAAGGCGACGAUCAGUAGGGGUUCUGAGAGGAAGGUCCCCCACAUUGGAACUGAGACACGGUCCAAACUCCUACGGGAGGCAGCAGUGAGGAAUAUUGGUCAAUGGGCGAGAGCCUGAACCAGCCAAGUAGCGUGCAGGAUGACGGCCCUAUGGGUUGUAAACUGCUUUUAUAAGGGAAUAAAGUGGGAGUCGUGACUCUUUUUGCAUGUACCUUAUGAAUAAGGACCGGCUAAUUCCGUGCCAGCCGCCGCCGUAA